GAUGAAGAACGCAGCGAAAUGCGAUAAUUAAUGUGAAUUGCAGAAUUCCGUGAAUCAUCGAGUCUUUGAACGCACAUUGCGCCUCAUGGCAUUCCGUGAGGCAUGCCCAUCUCAGCGUUAGAAAAUAUUCUCAAAUUUUAGUUUUGUGCUAAAAUUUGGAUCAUGUCAAGGAAGCUAUUACUAUUAUUGUGAUCGCUCUUUGGAAAUUGAUAGGUCUUUGAGUUGCUACUCAUAGAACGUGAUGAAUCUUUCUUCGUUCUAUUGUAAUUCACUCUGGUAGUCCUAAAACUUGUAUGCCUGUGGCAUAUCUUGUAAUUUGACCUGAGAUUGGGUAGGGAUCCCCGCUGAACUUAAGCAUAUCAAUAAGCGGAGGA
rnacentral:misc_RNA from 1 species